AACGCAUCUUGCGCCUUUUGGUAUUCCGAAAGGCACACUUGUUUGAGUGUUGUGAAGUACUCGAGUCCUUCUUUUUGUCAUUAAACGGAGGAAAUCGGAUUAUGAGUGUUGCUGUCUUACAGCUCGCUUGAAAUGCAUUAGUCCCUUUAAUGUGGUCGGAUUGACUUGGUGUAAUAAGACUUUCACCAAAGGAUGCUUUCUAGCAGCCGGCUUUUAAAGGUACUGCCAAAAUGUUAAAACCUUUUUUAGACCUCAAAUCAAGUGGGACUACCCGCUGAACUUAA
rnacentral:misc_RNA from 1 species